rnacentral:lncRNA from 1 species
UUUGUGUCAUUGCACGGUGAUUGCAAUUUAGCAUGGCCUACACGAGUGUGGUGCUGCUUAAUAUUUGCACACAUUUCCCCGAUGACAACAAAGUAGAUAACUGGUUCAUUUGAAAUGUGUCUGGCGUAUAAAAUUAUAAUCCUGGUACUUUUGAUAACUAUUAGAACAUGUUUUUAUAAUUUCGGAUUAUACCCCUCCCCCUCUUUUAUUUUCAUACUCUAUGAAGACCAAAAGCAGACAAAUAAUUGUGGAAUAACGGAAUCAACUCUUUAACAUUUUUUGCCUAUACCAUAUCUUUAAAAUUAAUGUAAAUCCUAUUCAUCAUAUUAAUUUUUUUUUUAUAUUCAAUAAGAUCAUUCCAUGAGUCGAAUGUGUUUUUAAUGUUUUAAAUUUCUAUCCGCGUCUACUUUGAAAACAGGGUUUUCUCGAGGAUUUCAUCAUACAGUCUAUCCUGCCUAUUCUCUUCCAUCUUUACUCUAAAACUAGUAUGACAGUAUUGUACAGUUGCCUGUAAAGUAAGACAACACAAUUAUAAUUCAUCAGGUGAGAAACCGCAUGACUAACUGACUAAUGAUUGGUAUAAUGUUUGUUGACUGCAAUGUGUGUUUCAAAAGGGUUUAAGUAUUUAUAGAAAAUGUAUCAAAAAGAACAAAACAACCUUAACAUGAUCAAUAAAAAAAAAUUGUUCUUGUGGUUUCGUGUUGUAAUAAUAAAAAUGUGUACAAUUUAAAACCCCUUUUAAGCAAUAAUUGGUACAUUUUAUAACAUGUACACAAUCGCAACUUGUACGCGACAUUUAUACCAAUAUAACAGUAUCCAAAGAUCUAUUGACUGUGUUGAAUUGAAUUUUAGAAGAAAUUUAUUUCAAGGAUCGAUAGUUUUACCAGGAUCUUUACCAAAAUUUUCGAACACGAUAAACAUCAUCGGUGUAAAAAUGAGGAUGUGCUAUCCCGUUUGACAUAAGUUUUCUACAGGUACAGCCAAACUUCAAAACAAAAUAGUUAUAUCUACGUAAAAAUUUAGUAAAAGUUUUAAGUAAUUUGUGAUAACAAAAUCCAAGUCUUAAUAAAUAACCAGUAAUACGUACAUUACGUUCAAUGAUGUUUAUAAAAAAUAUAUAAUAACCAUGUUUAUAUUAUACAUGUUCUUUUUUCAGUAUUAUUACACAUAUUAUGUACGAUAACUUAUAUGAAAUGUAAACGACUACGAAAUUUUCAGUUUGAUGUGUGUGUUUUAAUGUAACAAAUGAUCAAUGUUUACCAUGUUUACCUGUACAACAUAGUUAUUGGACAUUUACCCUGUACUAUCUUUGAUAUUUAAGAAUAAAUCAUGAUUCUUUCUAUGAAAUUAUUAUAGGUUGCAUUUCUGUAAAUAUUGACAAUGCAAUUUCCCAUAGGAACUCCUUUUACGGCUAAAACUGUACCACUUUUACUAUGAAGUUUGAAAAAAAUCUUAUCCUAGAAUUGAAAGUUCAAUUUGCACCACAAUUUUUUUCAAAGGUCAAAAUAUAGGGCUGUGCGGCAUAUUUUCAACGUUUAUAUGCCCGAACUUCUCAGAGUUGAAACUUACACUUAUUUUCUUAACUACCCCUACCUCGAAUGAAAGGUUACUACAGAUUUCAAUGUAAACAAUAAGCACGUGUUUAUUUACUGGUAACAUUCCCCAGUUCUGUCUCUGCGAUAUGGAACACAGAGAGCAUAACUGGGAACCAGUAUGUAAACAAAAUUAAUUUUCUAUGAAUAUUCUAUUUCUCCCCAAAAGAGGCGUGUUGUCAGAAACAGCUGUCUUUACAAAGUGCAACCUAUACAGACAUUUAUUCAAAUAGAAAACUCUCUAAAAUCAGUUUUUCUCACAUUAUGACUCAUUUAUCAGAAUUAUAGUCUUAAAGAAAUCACUGUGUAUACUCUAAGUUUUUCUUUACUAUACAUUUUAUACCCCCUCCCCUGUUGCAAUUUUUUUAAAGAAUUUGAAAAUAAGACUUUAAUUAUUGCCAGCUUACCCUUUUUACAUAUUUUCUGAUAAAAAAUGCCUAGAACCUGAUUAAAACUGUUUUGAUAACAUAUUGAAAGCAUAUCAGAAUAUUAUAAAUGUAAUGUUUAGCAGUCAAUCAUCACAACAUUCAAGAUUAUAUAAAGUAUCCAAUCCAGCCUCUGUCUCCAGUCCACAUCUUACUGUAUACCUAUUUGUCAAUUAAAGAACACAUUUUCUGCCUCAAAUGGUCAAUUUAGAAUUCUUGUCACAACAGUAUCAUCUGUAACCAUAUAUCUGACACAAUUUAGCUACUAUAUAUACUAGAAGUGUUCAAACAAAGCCAUAUUUGCAAUAGUUGUAUGUAUGCAGAUACCAGUCUGAGAUAUAAAUUCACUUAAAAUGUUGUAGAGAUGACUGCUAACAUUUGAUUUUUGCAUAACUUCCAAACAUAGUUAUUGUUACUAUAUCAAGAACAUUAAAAUCAGAAAAUCAUACCAUUUACAAGUUAAAUUAUUUGUUUUAUGACCCAGGGGGUAGGCAAUUUUCUAUGUUUUUUUGCCCCUGGGGCCUCAAAUUUCCUAAAUCAUUCUGCUGUUUCUAGCAAUUUGAAAUAUUUAGUACAUAUUCAGGAUAGAACACACUAUUGUAAGUUUUCUUGAGAUAUAUUUUUGUUUUUCUAGCUUGUAUUUGUUAUGCCGUGGUGACAAAAAAGAAGAAUUAGGUGUUGCGGCUUAAUUUUGGGUUAUCGAAAGGACACAAAUACUCCAUAAAUAAUAUUCAGGAAGGAUCUAUGAGUUUCAAUGACUGCGAAGAGUAAAUAUAAGCACUUUUUAACAAUUUAACUUACAAAUAUGCAAAUGUUAUGAAUUAAUUUUGUAUCCAGGACUUUAAGUAAACUAUGCAUACUGUAAUCUGUGAAUUUAUGCUGAGUCAUCAUAUCUAAGGCCCAGGAUUCUAUCAAUCUUCAUUAAAUAUUUAUAAAACUUCAUAUUUGAGUUAAUUUCUUUAAAAUCUGUGAAAUAAAGCAAAUUUGUUUAAAUUCUGAAUGUUCCCCUUUUUCAGCCUAUAUAGGUUGCAUUUCUGUAAAUAUUGACAAUGCAAUUUCCCAUAGGAACUCCUUUUACGGCUAAAACUGUACCACUUUUACUAUGAAGUUUUGAAAAAAAAUCUUAUCCUAGAAUUGAAAGUUCAUUUGCACCACAAUUUUUUUCAAAGGUCAAAAUAUAGGGCUGUGCGGCAUAUUUUUCAACGUUUAUAUGCCCCGAACUUCUCAGAGUUGAAACUUACACUUAUUUUCUUAAUUACCCCUACCUCGAAUGAAAGGUUACCACAGAUUUCAAUGUAAACAAUAAGCACGUGUUUAUUUACUGGUAACAUUCCCCAGUUCUGUCUCUGCGAUAUGGAACACAGAGAGCAUAACUGGGAACCAGUAUGUAAACAAAAUUAAUUUUCUAUGAAUAUUCUAUUUCUCCCCAAAAGAGGCGUGUUGUCAGAAACAGCUGUAUUUACAAAGUGCAACCUAUAAAACAAUGGAAAUAUUUCCAAAACUCACCAAUACUGAGUUGAAAUCCUUCUGCUCUCAUCAUCAAUACAAGUGGUAUGCUUUAAUCAUGCGAUCAUUACAACUUUAACAUGAAAUUUUUUGAUAAAGGUUAAAGUCAGCGAUUAAACUCUCAACAAUAUCGGACAAUAGAUAGUACAACUUCCGUAAUUACGCAAUAUGAUAAAGACUACAAAAACAAAUUGUCAAAUUCAAUGUAUUGUAUAACUAACCAUAUCUUAUAGAUAUAUUUUUACUGUAUAAUUUUCCUGGUUAAACAGUUACUUUUUUAUAGGGAUAAUCAACUGAAUGCCGUGAGUCGAGUAAGUUGUACAAACAGCACAGAAAUGUACAAAUAAGAUUUAUUUUACCCAACAAAACUUAAAAUUUAAAACGUCACAACAGAUACGACGGGCAUGGUGAACUCUUGUGAAACAUAAACACCGUAAGAUGGUGUCGACGGAACAUCACCAUACAAAAAGGAAAAUUAACAAUAUUGAACGAAAAAUCGUCUCUUUUGCAGUAUAUUUUAGUGUGGAGUUUCCUGUGUAAAACAGAAAAGUUUGAAUCUAUGCAACAACAGUUAUCAGCAAUUGAAUUUGAUUUAUUCAAAGUAAGUUCCUUUGAGUAAUGGAGAAAGUCCGGUAAGGUCUUAUUUCGGCCUUUAAAUUCAAAGUACGGCUUGUAAAAGAUUUUUGACAUUUUAUUAAACCCUUGAGUGUCAACUUUAUUCGAUUCAAUUAGUUGUUGAUGACGAUUUAGACUGACCUAGUCAUUACAAACACUUAUAUUCAAGCUUAAAUAAGAAAAAUCCAUCAACUUUGCACAAUCGUGUUCUGCCUCAACAUAUGUAUGUGAUGUGUAUUAUCAUUGAAUGCACACACAUUUUUUUUUAAAUUUAAGGUCUAAUCACAAAUACGGUCACAUUCAUUUUAGACAAAACUGUCUGAAAAUUAACACAAAUAUUUUAAUUGAGGUGAUACCAGUAUGUUUGCAUGGAAUAAUGAUGCUAGUACCUGGUGUAUGUUCGUUGUUUUAUCAAAAACAGCCCAUAUUUAUGUAACAAAAGUAUUCUACCUUCCAAUUAAUAAUUAUUUUUUUUACAAUUCAACAAAUUUAUAAAAACUAUUAUUUGGGGCCAAAGGAAGUUUUACCGGGCCUACCUCUUUCGUCAGUAGAUUCUAAUUGUGUUUAUAUUGCUAAAUUGACUAUUAUCGAAGGUAUAAUUCGAACAAUAAUAAAUGUAUGUGUUCUUAAAAUUCAUAAAUAUAUAUGCAUGCAAUAGUUAUAGUUUCAAUUCAGUUCAUUUUUCUUGAAAUCUAGUACAAAAUUCCGGCUAAUCUGCAUGUUCGACUUAAGAACUGUCCAUUAAACUAACAACAGAUAUGUCCGCCAUGGAAGAGGGUCUUCAGCAAUACUGUGAAACUGUUUACUCGCGAAGUUGUAUUACGCAUAUAUAAUCUCAUCAGAGAUACCAGCAUUAAAUUUUGUAUUUACGCCAGACACGUGUUUCGUCUACAAAGGACUCAUCAGUGACGCUCGAAUCCAAAAAAGUAAAAAAGGCCAAAUAAAGUACGUAGUUGAAGAGCAUUGUGGACCAAAAUUUCUAAACGUUUUGCCCAAUACAGCUGAGGUAAUCUAUUCCUCAGGUAAGAAAGCCUUAGUGUUUGAAAAAGUUUGGUAAACAAUUAAUUUAUAAAUAGGACCAUAUCAAUGAUAAUCCAUGUCAGCACAGAAGUGCUGACUACUAUGUGGAUUCUCAAAAACUCUUAAAAACCCAUGGAUAAGCUUUUCUGCUGAAAUCGACACUUUUCAUUUUGUUAACCCUGUAACCACCAUUUCUCAAAACAAAAAUGAGAAAUCGUCUAAAAGAAAUAAUCCCUAAUGCUUUUCAGCAUAAAAAUGGAAGCAAACGCUCAAAAUUUAUUACGUUGGGAUACCAUACGGCUUAUUUUCUGAAUAAUGAACAAAAACGUUAAACAUAAUAAACAGAGGAACAAGUGAUCAGUAUGCUGGAGUUCCUUAUUGACCAUAUAUUUUUUGAAUUUGGAAGCAUACUUUUUCAACAAAUUGACAGCAUUCCUAUGGUAACGAACUAUGGGCGAUUUCUUACCGACCUUAUUUUGAUUUUCAUAUGAGUCGGAGCUUCUUCAGACUUUUGUCAAAAAAUAAACGCCAGGUUAUUUAAUUUCACAUUCAUAUACUAGUAUAUUGAUGGUGUUCUUUCAAUUAACAAUCCAAACUUUCCCGAUUGAGUUCUAGUAAUUCAUAUCCCCCAGAACUAAAAUAUGGAAUUAACAGACACGGUUUCUUCCGCCUCAUUUUUAGACUUUCAUCUACACAGUCAUCUCAGUACCAAUUUCUAUGUCAAAGGAGACAAAUGUUUUUUAAAUUCUAAAUUCCCUCCACCUAAGGAGCAAUAUAUUAUCUGCAGCUGCUUAUGGGAUAUACAUUUCCCAACUUAUUCGAUAUUAAGGAGCUUGCAUCUGCUACUCAAACUUUGUAAAUAGUUAUCAAAGGUACCAGGGUUAUAAUUUAGUACGCCAGACACGCGUUUCGUCUACACAAGACUCAUCAGUGACACUCAUAUCAAAAUAUUUAUAAAGCCAACAAAUAGAAAGUUCAAGAUCAUUGUUGUGUCAAAUACGGAUAAGGUAAUCUAUGUCUGGGAUAAGAAAAACCUUAGUUUUUAGAAAAGUUCAAAGAUUUAAACAGGAAAUUUAUAAAAAUGACCGCAUUAUUGAUAUUCAUGUCAACACCGAAGUGUUGACUACUGGGCUGGUGAUACCCUCGGAGACGAAACGUCCACCAGUAGUGACAUCGACCCAGUGGUGUAAAUAGUUAUCAAAGGUACCAGGGUUAUAAUUUAGUACGCCAGACGCGCGUUUCGUCUACAAAAGACUCAUCAGUGACGCUCGUAUCAUAAUAUUUAUAAAGCCAAACAAAUAGAACAUCACACGAGUGUCUGCUCAGAAAGUAAUUGAAUCAGGAGUAAAAAAAAAAACUUCAUCGUAUGAUAUACAAAGACCUUGUUAAUAAAUAUUCCUUAUCAACUUCACAAAUUAUACACCAUGGUCUUGCAGUAUAGAUUAUGUGUACUUACUGUGUUUAUCAUCUUAAUAACUUGUUAUAAAAAUCGUCAGUUUGUCAUUUUUAAUUUUACUUUUACUGUUUAGUAUAUUCCAUGUGAUAUCCAUUUGACGUGGCUCCGUACUUAUAUAUCCCGUCAUUUUGAUAGUGUGCUAUCGUAAACUACUGUAUUCUUGUCUUUCGAUUUUAUAUUUCUUUAUAACAAUUCAUUUGACGUGGUUCUGUACUUAAACAUAUUGUCAUUGUGUUAAUGUGCUAUGGUAAAAUUUUGUAUUCUUGUCUUUUAUUUUAUCUUUCGUUGUGUGUUUCUCUGUUACAAAUGACGUGGCUCUGUACUUGUACAUCCCGUCAAUUGUGUUAAUGUAAAUAAAAUAUCUUUAGUCUUUCAUUUUUUGCUAAUGUGCUUUGUCUAAUUGCCUUUUUGUGUUUCCUGGUUACAUAUUCGUAUGUUUUAAACCGAUUAAAAUUAUAACGCAAAGUUGUCUGCUGUACCCCAAUUGUUGACAUUUGUACCUACCGCGUCUGUUUAUUUUGUUUACACAUCGGUGUCAAUAUGAUAUAAUUUGAUGCAACUGUCAUGCAAGUGAGAGGUUAAGCUUGUUAUAAAAACAUGUUUUAUCAACCAUUUUAUACACAUGAAAAUUCCGGCACCAAGUCAGGAAUAUGACAGUUGUUAUUCAUUCGUUUGAUCAUGUGUUUGAGAUUUUUUAAUUGCCAUUUGAUUAUGGACUUUCCGUUUUGAAUUUUCCUUGGAGUUCGGUAGUUUUAGUGAUUUUACCUUUCAUGUUUUUUGUUUACCUUUUCAUGAUUUAUUGGUCAUCUAUGCGGCGUCACCCCUCCAUAAUUGAUUUUUACCGAAAAAUAAAGACUAAUGGUAUUAUUUUUUUUAAUUCUUACACGAUUUAUCUUUUACCUGACCUGUUUUAUUAUUUUAUUUAAACAAUAUGGGGUUGUUCAUUGGCCAAAAUUCGAAUGUGACGUCCCAUUUUCCUGCUUUCUCCUUAAUUUUCUAUUGUGACGUCAUGAAAAAAGGCGAUCAUGCCUGAUGACGUCACAUAUGAAAUCACUUCUCUUUUUAGAUUAUUCGGAAUGAAGAAUCGAAUUUGUCUGCAUAUUGUUUAAAAUCAUUGGAGAAACAUAAUCCAACACCAAAUAUUGUGCAAUCCGAUACUUAUUCAGAGUUGAAUUUUAAAUAUUUAUAAUGCUCGGCAAGCCGUGCGUUUUAAAUUUGCAAAUUUAACUAUCUCAAGUUGAUGUAUAUCGUAUCAAACUCGAUGUAGUGGCAUAAUCAAUAUAUAGCUGGGACUGUAUCUUGCAAUAAUUUGUGGGAUCCUUUACAAAAGAUAUUUCAGCUGAUCUAUAACAAUUCCAUCUUCAUGCCUAAUAUAUAUCAUGUAUUGUAUUACGACACUAGAUUAAAACUGACGAGGAAAGGUAACACCAAGCCACCGAAAGCUAUAUUAUUGUGGUCGAGUGGUCUAGCGCGUCGGAUAUAGUGCAGGCGAUUUGGUGUCAUGAUAUAUCAGAUGCAUGAGUUCGAAUCCAUUCGAGUGAAGAACAACACAAUUGGCAAAAGCAAAUUCACAGACCUAACAUUGUUGGGUUGAUUUUUAGACGAGUUAUAUAUAAUAUAUAUAUAAUUCGUCUAAACAUCAGCCCAACAAUGUAAGAUCUGUAAAUUUGCUUUCGCAAUUUUUAGUUCUUCCCUCACCGGGAUUCGAACUCAUACUACUGAGAUAUUUAUAAGCAAUUACAUUUGCGCCGCAUUUAUGACGUCACAAAUUCCUGAAAAUGGAAGCAAUUAGUGAACAUAAUUUAUAACUAAAAUUACUGGAUAUAUACAUGUACGAUGCGUUUCCAUUAAUUUACAUUAUUGCAGUUAGAUUUAUCUGAUAUUUAGGGCCUAUAUAUUGAGACAAUGAAUUAACUCCUUUCGGCUAGACUUUUUUUACACGUUAAAGGUUAAAUAAUAUUAAUUUUAAGGAAGAUAAAUAUGUGAUAAAGUCAAAAACAAGUAUAUGAUCAAUUCCUUACAUUUAUUAUGGAUAUUUAAUUAAUAGAGGAUUCCGUGUGGAAUUUUAAAAUUGUUUUGUGCAUGUUAACGUUACCAGUCUUGAUUGAUGCAAUUGGUAUUAUCUAGUUUAAUUUGGAAUGUUACACCAACAUGCAAAUAUAGACUCCAAGCGUACAAUAUAUACAUAGAUUUCAUACAAACAAAUUAUGUUGUUUAUGCGCUAUUUUUUUUUUUUAAAUUGAUGUAUUUAUAAGCUAAAAGACAAAGCAAAGCGUUUAACAUAGCAAAAAAAAACACCUCAUCCUUAUUAGUUCAUAUGUAGUUAGAAUGUUUGUUUACAUAGUACAGCAAACGUGAGCGUCGAUUAUCUCGAUUAUCUGGUUCAAAUCAAUAUAAUCAUUCUUAGUAGUAUGACGUGCUGUUUUCACUUCGUAAACAACAGUGUUGAAAUUCUCGAUAUAUCUAUAGCAAGCGCAGACUCAGAGAUGUACAAUAUAAUUGCUGACUUCAGAUACUUCCCACGAAAAUUCACACAUGCAAACGAUAUGGCGAUUUCGCUGUGUUUAGAAAUGCAAAUGGAAUAAAAAACACCUACAGAACAUUUGUCCUUUAUUUAUUUUCAGAUACUCAACGAUGAUACUGUUCUUAUUUGUCAAAUCCAUUGCAG